rnacentral:pre_miRNA from 1 species
GGGGAGGAGGAAGCAGGCGGAACGCUGGAGGGGGGAGGAGGUUUCUCCCUCUCCUCUCCAGCGUUUUGUCUGCUUCCUCCUCCCCU